UUUAACGAGGACCUAUGAGAGGGCAAGUCUGGUGCCAGCAGCCGCGGUAAUUCCAGCUCUCAAGGUGUAUAUCGCCAUUGCUGCGGUUAAAAAGCUCGUAGUUGGAUCUGCGCCUUCGGACUCGGUCCUCCCAACGGGUGCGAACUGAGCUCCAAGGCUACUACUGCUGGUUUUCCCUUGGUGCUCUUCACUGGGUGUCUUGGGUGGCUAGCGAGUUUACUUUGAAAAAAUUAGAGUGCUCAAAACAGGCUAUUGCCUGAAUACCGGUGCAUGGAAUAAUAGAAUAGGAUCUCGGUCCUAUUUUGUUGGUUUUCGGAACUGAGAUAAUGGUUAAGAGGGACAGACGGGGGCAUUCGUAUCGCUGCGUGAGAGGUGAAAUUCUUGGACCGCAGCGAGACGCCCAACUGCGAAAGCAUUUGCCAAGAAUGUCUUCGUUAAUCAAGAACGAAAGUCAGAGGUUCGAAGGCGAUCAGAUACCGCCCUAGUUCUGACCGUAAACGAUGCCAACUAGCGAUCCGCCGGUGGUAAUUACGCCCCGGCGGGGAGCUUCCCGGAAACGAAAGUCUUCCGGUUCCGGGGGAAGUAUGGUUGCAAAGCUGAAACUUAAAGGAAUUGACGGAAGGGCACCACCAGGAGUGGAGCUUGCGGCUUAAUUUGACACAACACGGGAAAACUCACCCGGCCCGGACACCGUAAGGAUUGACAGAUUGAGAGCUCUUUCUUGAUUCGGUGGUUGGUGGUGCAUGGCCGUUCUUAGUUGGUGGAGCGAUUUGUCUGGUUUAUUCCGAUAACGAACGAGACUCUGGCCUACUAACUAGUGACAGAAUUAUUGCUGUUCUGGUUACUUCUUAGAGGGACAAGUGGUGUUCAGCCACACGAAAUUGAGCAAUAACAGGCCUGUGAUGCCCUUAGAUGUCCGGGGCUGCACGCGUGCUACACUGGAGGAAACAGCAUGCAAAACCAUUGCCGAGAGGCAUUGGUAAACCCGAGAAAAUCUUCCGUGAUCGGGAUCGGGAAUUGCAAUUAUUUCCCUUGAACGAGGAAUUCCCAGUAAGUGUGGGUCAUCAGCUCGCGCUGAUUACGUCCCUGCCCUUUGUACACACCGCCCGUCGCUGCCCGGGACUGAGCCGUUUCGAGAAAAGCGGGGACUGCUGCUGUUGGGGCUUUCGGGCCUUGGCUUCGGUGGAAACCGCUUUAAUCGCAGUGGCUUGAACCGGGCAAAAGUCGUAACAAGGUUUCCGUAGGUGAACCUGCGGAAG
rnacentral:rRNA from 1 species